UACGAGGGGGGCGAGCGUUGUUCGGAAUUAUUGGGCGUAAAGGGUGCGUAGGCGGCCUGACAAGUCUGAUGUGAAAUCCCUGGGCUCAACCCAGGGCCUGCAUCGGAAACUGUCGGGCUUGAGUAUGGGAGAGGUGAGUGGAAUUUCCGGUGUAGCGGUGAAAUGCGUAGAUAUCGGAAGGAACGCCGGUGGCGAAAGCGACGUGCUGGACCUCUUCUGACGCUGAGGCGCGAAAGCCAGGGGAGCGAACGGG
rnacentral:rRNA from 1 species